rnacentral:lncRNA from 1 species
UUUGGAAUACUGUGUUUUGUCCAUCCCAGCCUUCACCAGGCGGAUUUCAUCUCCCACACAGUUAGUGAUUUAUGGCAGAAAGGAAGCUGGAGGGAUGGGGACUGCAGCUUAGCUGUGAGGGCCGGAAGGGAGCGGUUUUGUGCUGCACACAGGCAGGUCAGCACUCCCAGAGCAGGGACCGCCAGGCGUGCUUUCGGAACCGCUUUUGUCUUUCAAAUGAACGCCCAGCGCCAGCAGACGGGAGUUCCAGGACCUUAGAGACCGGCUAAUGCUUCUCUUUAAGGUAGAUCAUUGGCCGGAGACAGGAUAUGUGAAGAAACUUCAGAGAAGGGACAAUACCUUCUAUUACUACAACAAACAGAGGGAAUGUGAUGACAAGGAAGUCCACAAAGUGAAAAUUUAUGCUUACUAGCCUGUCUUCUUUGUAUUACUUGUCAAUUAUAUUUUAAGAAUUCAUCAUUUCCUUCUACAUCGUGUGUUUGUCAUUUGAUGAAAUAAUUCAAGAUGCAGUCUGCAGUUUAAUGUUUUGUGAAACACAAAAGCCGUGAGAAUUGGUAUCUGCUAAUCAACUUGUCCUGUUCUAAGAACUGGCUGCAGAUGCAUUAAAGUUGUACUUUCUU